UCGGUCUCCGCGGUUACGGGAGUGGAGCUGCGUCGGGAGAAUGGCGCCGGGCGGUGUUGCGCUGUCGUUUCUGCUGCUCGCCUUGACUUGUCUGGGCGCCAUCGGCCAGGGCUUGGCCGACAAGCGGCUGAAGAUGCAGUACGUCACCGGGCCGGUGCUGCGCUUCCAGAUCUGUAUCUCCUGAGGAUACAGAAGGGUGUUUGAGGAGUAUACGCGGGUUAUAAGCCAGCGAUAUCCCGACAUCCGCAUUGAAGGAGAAAAUUACCUUCCACAACCUAUCUACAGACACGUAGCAUCCUUUCUGUCAGUCUUCAAGCUGGUCUUAAUAGGACUAAUUAUAGUCGGUAAAGACCCCUUUCCUAGUUUGGGCAUGGAAGCACCUAGUAUCUGGCAUUGGAGUCAGCAGAACAAGAUCUAUGCAUGCAUGAUGGUGUUCUUCCUUAGUAACAUGAUUGAAAAUCAGUGUAUGUCCACUGGUGCAUUUGAGAUUACAUUAAAUGACGUUCCAGUGUGGUCCAAACUAGAAUCUGGCCAUCUUCCAUCCAUGCAGCAGCUUGUGCAGAUUCUCGACAAUGAAAUGAAGCUCAAUGUACACAUGGAUUCAAUCCCACUUCAUCGGUCUUAGCUAAAUCUCCAGCAUUGGCAAGACUUUUCCGUGAGUGAUUCUUUCAGAAACAUCUUCCUCAAGCAUAUUUGAGUAUUUGAGAGGAUAUUUUCUGAGAACGGUAAGACUGAUGACUAUGAAGGACUGCACUUAAAGCAGCACUGACUGUUUGUGCAGACUGGAUGUUCCCCACAUCAGACCUACUGAACCUUUGAAACUUCCUCUUAAAAAUGGAAAAGACUUCAAUGCUCUGCUACACUGAUUCUGUUCACCCUGUAGUGUACUGCACAUAUAUCAGAUUGUAAUAUGAACAUAGUUUUUUUUAUAUGUAAUUUAAUACAACUUUGUGGAGGCAUUUCAAGAAAUGAUACAAGUGACAAAUAACAGUUCUGUUAUUUUGUGUUUUUAAAUGAGUGAUAUACUAUAAAUUUUGUUUGAUAUUGUACUUUAGAAAUAUAUUAUAAUUUAAUUGUGGGUACAUUUUUAACCUGAAACCUUCAUGAAAAUCUAUUUGCGCUCGUGUAGAAGUCAACAGUUUAGCAUUAGUACUCUGUACUAAUGUUAUUAAAUUGGAACCAUACACUGAAAUAUUUGCCAACAAAUAAAACUCUUUUUCUCCCAAUCCUCACACUCUCAAGUUUAUCGCAAUAUGAAGCUUAACUUGGAGAGUACAAUAUCAUUGGUCAGGGGAUAUAACCAGCUGGGUAGGAAGUUUUCCCUAAAAGUUAGUUAAAAAUGCCUUCAGUUAUAAUUAAAAUGCUAAUAUGUCAGAAUAAAAUUACUAGGUGAUAGUGCUGAAGCAAAAGUUUAAGAUGGAGGGGGAGGGUGCUGAAGGAACACUGGUUCCUCAAACCUAAUUAGAUAGUAAACCUUUGAUAGCCUUUAAUUAUAAAGUGGACACUGAAUUCAUUAGUAAGGGUGAUGGGAGAGUUCUCACGUGGUCAUGCAUUUUUGUGAAGUUUAAUUUGAAAUAAUAUUUUUGGUCAAAUUCAUGUUACUGCCAAACUUUAAGAUUAUUGUUUGAUUAUUUGUAGAGUAACUUUUUUUUUGUUAACCAUUCAUAUUUCUUUCUUUUAUGACCUGAUUUGUGUUCUAUGUUUUGGUGGAAAUUGAGACAUUUACAUACCUUGAAGGAUGCAUUGUGGUAAAGUUUGAGAUGAUGCAUACAGCCUGGUUAAAUAUUUCUAAUAAUCCUGAUAACUGUCUAACUGCAAAGGUCUCUAUGAACCUGCUCUAUUAAAUAGAUAUUUAUCAAAUU